rnacentral:rRNA from 1 species
UGAGGAAUAUUGCGCAAUGGGGGCAACCCUGACGCAGCAACGCCGCGUGAGUGAGGAAGGUUUUCGGAUCGUAAAGCUCUGUCGGGUGGGAAGAAGUGUAUGGAGGUUAAUAGCCUUUGUACUUGACGGUACCGCCAAAGGAAGCACCGGCUAACUCCGUGCCAGCAGCCGCGGUAAUACGGGGGGUGCAAGCGUUGUUCGGAAUCAUUGGGCGUAAAGAGCGUGUAGGCGGCUAGGCAAGUCAGAUGUGAAAUCCCUGGGCUUAACCCAGGACGUGCAUUUGAAACUGUUUGGCUUGAGUAAGGAAGAGGGAAGUGGAAUUCCUGGUGUAGAGGUGAAAUUCGUAGAUAUCAGGAGGAACACCGGUGGCGAAGGCGACUUCCUGGUCCUAUACUGACGC